UUUUUUUUUCUAAAAUCUUCCAACAAUUUAUGAAGUGCGAGCCCUUUUUGAAAAUUUCGAAUACUUUUAAAAAACCAACAAUUUUGAAAAAGCGAACAUUUAUUGAAACCUGAACAAUAUUUUAAAGUGUGAACACUUUUUGAAACAUAAUUUUUUGUCAACCUGAACAAAAUUUUAAUGUGCGAACACUUUUUUAAACAUGAAACAUUCAAGAAACCUGACCAAAAUUUUAAAGUGCGGACACUUUUUGAAACACAAAAAUUUCCUAAAACCUGAAAAUAUUUUGUGACAUCUAAAAAAUAUCACAAUUUUAAAAAAAUGUACGGGCCGAUUCAAACAAAUGUUUAUAUAAUGUAUAAUAAUAUUUGUGUGACUCAGAAAAUUGUUUCAUACAUUCAAAAAAUGUAACAUUUCAAGAAUUUUCACAAUUUCAAAAAAUGUGUGUACAAUUUAUUUGGAAAAAUAUUAUCAUGUACAAUAAAGUUUUGAAAACAUGUAAUUUAAAAUGUUCAUAAUAUAUUUGAAAAUAAAAAAAGUUUAUCAAAAAUAUUUAGUGUAUGCUUUAAAGAUGCAUAUUGGGUACUGAGAAAAAUUAGACAUGUCUAGAAAGAAAAAAGAUAAGAAAAUGAAAAAGAAAAAAAACAAAGAAAAAACAAAGCAGCGCGUGAGAGCGAGUGUGCUAAUAAGCCGGCCCAAUUAGGCAAAUACCGGCUAGGUCGUCUCAAGGUUCAAAAUAGACCGGAAUUAUGGUGUUUGUUGUGCUGAGUACAGGGAGUGAUAGUUCAGGGUUUGAUUUAAUUUUCACCUACAAAUUGAAGGUUUGUUUCGAACUUUUUCAAUUAGCAUGUAGUGCAGUCUAGGAUGUCCGGUGAAGCUUCAGCUGUACGCGCGGAGGACGCGAGAUGCCGGGCUGCCGUGCAAUGUAGCGAGCGCGAUAAGAUGCCCACUGUGCCGUGUGAUACGGCGAUGCCGUGAGAGUCGAGAAGACAGGACAAUGCUGGGGCGUGGUGGAUUGGAUCAGGUUGAGUCGGAUGACACAGCAAGGCAAGUCGUUUGGUUUGUUGGAGUAUCUGCAUGCGCAGAGUUGUUAGCUACAUGCAUGGAGUUAAUUUGUUAGUAGUAGACGGUCAAGUUAGUGGCCGAGCCGACCUGGUGUGAUUCUAGGAAAUGAUGGGCGUGUGCUAAUAGUAGUGGGUGCGUCUGCAUGGGAUGUGGACCAGGCCGUUGGCUCAGCGGUGUAUAAAUAUACCUUGCAUUUGGUAAGAAUGAGAGAGGCCGUGAGGGCUGUAGCCAAAAUGUAGCCAUGGUGGUGUGCCUUCAUGUGUAUACGUUUGUGUGAGUUUGAGUUUCUCCAGUGUGUGUGUUCAUGAGAAGAAGAGUAAGUUGUGAGAGGCAACACCGAGGAAGAAGAAGCGGCGCCAACAGCCCCGGCCAGCUCCACGCCCGGCCUCCUCGAGCUGGAGGUUGGUGGAGGCGUAAAGGUGGCCGCACGGCCUUACUCUUGCGCCGGGGUGGGGUGCUCGGCUUGUGUUUGAUUACUGUUCCACGUUCUGUGGGUGUAGGUGAUGGUGGAUGACCAGCCCGUGGAAUUCCUUUUGGGGAUUGGAGUGUUAUGUCCGCGGUUGGUGAGCGAUCUCGCGACCCUGGGCGUGAGCUUGAGGUGUUCGAUUGAUCGCUGACCAGAGCACACACACCUUUCAGCCAUUUUUGGUUCUCAGUAUUUUGUUACAGGUGAGAGAUGGUUGGGGGCGUGCAUGUGAAUAGACCGGUGAACGGCGCCAAUGGCAUGAAGGAGCGGCUGGACGAGCUGCGUCGGCUGCUGGGCAAGUCUUACGCUGAAGAUCGUCAGCGUCGGCGCUGGCGCAUGGGGCUGCGUCUUUACUUCUCUCUCUCUCUUUUUUUUGAGGACCAUGGUUACAAGAUUAAGCCAUGGUGUUAACACACUCUGCUCUCAUUACAUGUUUUGCGUCCGCUGGGACGUCAGCGAUCAUGAAGAAAUCGCCCGAACCUCUUGCAAGAGCGGCAAGCUCAUGUGCUAGUUUAUUCUUGCUCCGGUUGAUGAUGUUGAUCUCCGCUCGUACAAAGGCACCCAGCAUCUUUCCUGCAUCCGUUAGUAUGGCGUGGCAUGCUGACUUGCCCUUCGGCCCAGUUUGUAGCUCCCGCCCAACAAAAGUGCAGUCGGUCUCCAGGAUCAGUUCCCCAGUAUAUAGUUUCGCGAAUUCUGUUUGUCCCAAAAGGGCAGCAGCACCCUCCGCUUCUUCCACAGAGCUACAACGGUCCAGGCUCCGACCAAUGGACAUGAUCACUCUCGCUUUCUCAUCCCUUGCUACAGCGCCGCCCCAUGUUUCACCUGUUUCUCCUAGGAAAGCUGCAUCAGUAUUUAGCUUCGCCUUGCCCACAGGGGGGGUAACCCAGUGCCCUGGUGAUGGAGGGUGUGGCACUGUAGGUUUAACAGGGCUUAGCGACAGUUUUCUUUUUCCUGCCUCCUCCACCGGAUCACAUGCAGCAGCCAGCAGAUCAUCAUGCAGCCUAAUGAGGUACUGCACAGAUCCCGCUACUGUAUCUUUCCCAUCGCCAUGUACCACGUUAUUCCUCAGAUUCCAUGCCUGCCACAGAAUAAGCAUGAUUUUGUCUCUGAUUGACUUGGGGUUGGAUAAGAGCAGAAUUUGCUGGGGCUGCGUCUUUACUGCUCGCCUGUAGGACGCCUACGGCCAUUUCAGGGAUGUUAGAAGGGAGAGAGGAAUUUGGUGGAAUAGUUCAUUGUAUUGCUUAAGCCUCAUGGGCAUAUAUAUAGGAGUACAUAAUCAUCUUGGAGUACAAGGCAAGGUAGAAUAAUAUCCUACGCUAUCCUUGCUUUCCUAAUCAUCACGAUACUCAACAUCCCCCCGCAGUCACAACGGUAGCGACGCAGACGGUGAGACCGGAGAUGAAUCCGAAGGGAAGCCGACGGACACCCCUCCACAGUCGUAACGGUCAAUGCAUCGCGGAAGUCGUGGCUGGAGUGGAAACCGACAAGGUUGCUCAAGCAAGGCGGUAGCCCUUUGUGUCGUUUGUCGAUAUAGCCGAGAGCAUAGGGUGGUGUACCCGUGGUCGAGGUAGCCGUGCGAGAGACGCCGUGGUCGAUGUCGAGUUGGGGGUUGUCGGUGUCGAGGUAGUCGCCGUGUAGCCGCGGAAGAAGAGCAGCGACAGCGGCGGAGGAGGAGGCGGCGGCUAGAGAAGGAGCACAGCGGCGGUGCUCGAAGUAGGCGAUAAUAAACCCGACAGCAUGACAAAGACCGAAGCGGACGGUGACGGUCCCGCGCCAAGGAAGGCGGCGCGGCGCAUAUUACGUGAAAGUCGACGCGCUUGGACGGCGGUGGACCGCGGGCCGACGCUACGGCCCGGAGGGGCGACGCAGCGGCGGCGGGCAGGUCAGGGCGACGGCGGGGAAGACCUCAGAGCGGUUGCAGGAAUCGCGUGCCACGCUCGCUACGGCCCGGCGAGGCGACGCAGCAGCAGCGCGAGGGUCGGUGCAGCCUCGGGGACGGCCUGGAGCGGACGGCCUCGGUGCAGCGGUUGACCGCGGGCCGCGGCACUACGCCUCGUAGGGGCGACGCAGCGACAUCACGCGAGGUGGUGCAACCACGAGGAGGAACAUGGGGCGGCGGCGCUGCGGCCUGAAGGGGCAACGCAACGACAGCCCGUUGCUCGAUCGGUGGCGGCGUUCAUAAUCGAUGAUAAUCUUCAUAGACCUGUGAAGCUGCGCGCAGAGGGCUGAUUAAAGCGAAAACACAUCAAGCAAGGUCGAGAAGACGCGGACGAACGACAAGGCGCGCAGGGAUGCAGGCAGUGGUGCAGCCGACGGAACCAGCCUUGUGCACGGAUGCAUGCAUGCACCCAAGCAUACCCGCACGUGAUGCAGCCCACAUGCAAGUAGCAAGACUUGCACAGGUUGCAUGAUUCACAACCGGUGUAGAUCGACAUGGCCUGAUGAGCAGCCGCGAGCGGCCGGCUACACCACGCCCGCAUGCGGGACGACGUGCGCAACCGGCCACCGCAAUAGCACACGCGUUGUACGCGCGAACCUAGGGCGCCGGCAACAUAUCCGGGUGAAGGCGGGAGUUGUUGUCGAGGUCGGAAUAGAGACGCGUUGUAGAUGACGAACGACGGCGGGCGAUGCAAACUGAUCUUAGAUCGGAAAAACAAAAAGGAAACAGCCAAUUGAGGUGGCCGGUGAAAGAGAGAAAACCCCGGAUCAAGAGAUCGUAAAAAAGACUCUCCAAAGCAGCCGGUCAACACGACCGGCGGACGAACCCUAGGUACGGCGGGGCGGUCCCCGGCAGCGGUUAUGGAGGCCGACCGCCCUGGGGGCGGCGCGCGGAGCGGAAGCGACGGGCGGCUGUUAGGGUUUGAAUCGGUUAGGCUGAUACCAUGUUAGAAGAGAGAGAAGAAUUUGGUAGAAUAGUUCAACAAGGAAGAAGGUGCAGAUACGGGUCCACCAGCGAGCAUCUGUUCGACCUGAUCAACUCGAGGGAGGACGCACAGAGGCGCCUGAUCCAACGGUGGCGGUGCACCUACCUUAAGAAGUACGUCCAUGCGCGGCUGGGAGACCAAGACUUUUUACCGAUGAGAUUCUGAGGGAUAGGUUCUGUUUUGAACACGGAGGCCAUGCCACUGCCGGUUGAAGGUGGUCACCAACCUGUAGGAAGCUGCUUGGCUUGCUGACAUUGUGGUCAAUGGGCUGCCUUCCACCGAGGUUUAGCUCAGCACUCAGCAAGUAUUGCAAGUGUGAUCAUUUCUCUUGCAACGGGGAUACAAGUCCUUGGAGGCUGGGACCCAACUAGAAGCAAAAGCGCGCUUUGCCGCACCGUUUUCUUCUUGCCAUUGUGCAUUUAGUUUUUCUUUCGCAUUAUAUUUGUUUUUAGGAUUCUCAUUAUAUUUUAUUAAUAAUGUCAUCUUGCUACUUAAUAGGCCAAUAAAUUAAAAUAAAAUCCACGGUAAUUUAUUAUCUACAAUCUUGUUCUGUUGUCACAAACCAAAAUUUAUUUCAUACAUAGUAGAAGAGUUAACAUAAGAACUUGGAAAAACUAGUGUAGCAAGAUCCAACCUACAGGUGAAUGUUUCAGAUAUUUCAGGAGAUAGCAGAGCAGAACAUACACUCUUUUUAAAUUCUUCUCCCCUAAUUGUUUCUGAUUGGCAUGUAGACUUCAGAACCACUAACCAGUUUGCCUAAGCUUUUGAAUACAGCAACCCAACAUGCUGCAGGUAUUCGCCUGAAAAAUCUAAUAAUAUAUUUUUUUGAAACGGAGGCAAAGAUUGCCUCAUCUAUUAAAUAAGCAGAAGAGAAUUGCCCAGUUAAUAACGGAAAACCGGGCAAAAACCGGAACAACAAGGACCAAGCCCACUCCCAUAGACUGAAACACACAGGGCAAAGCCCACCCUUAUCGACAACAUGCCGACCUGCGGCCAGACAACGCAACUCCGACUCUGACGGAGAACUCAGAAGAACGAAACCAGGCACGGCUGGCGCCACGGAAGAUCGCCGAAAGGGCCACCUGCAGCCAGUCAUCGUACACCACAGGGCCCCGCCGCCGCAGCUUCGACUCCACAGCAACAAACAAACUGAGGCAAUACCGUGGACACGCCAGAGAAGAGCCGACUACCGCAACCAUUGCCGCGUCGCCGACAUCGCUCCCGCCAUCAUUGUUGCCACAGAAGUCUGGCCGCCAUAGUGAUUCUCUCGGGGCCGCCGCCCCGACAUCCACCGCUCCCUCGCGCCCAGUGCAAUCAACCGGCACCGCCUUCCGGGGCCGCCGCCCCGACAUACCACCACUCCCCUCGAGCAGCAACGCCGCACAACCCAGCUGCCCGCAGCCCACGCUGCUCAGGGCAACCGCUCGCAGACCACGAACGUCGCACCACAUCCGGGGCCGCCGCCCCGACGUAAAGUCAGAUCGCCCCCUCUGGGGCGCAUCGACCAGGCCGACAACCUCGCUACCCACGCAGCACCAAGCCGCCACCAAAACAAUGCACAACGGCGACUCUGCCCCAUAGAGCCACCGUUGCAUCGCUAUCCGAGGCCGCCGCCUCGGCGUACAUCCACCGUCCAGAGCCGCCGCCCCGGCCUCCAUCACCCCAAUGACGACGCAACUCUGCACCACUGCCAGGAGACCACAACUCCACAAAAGGUCAUUGCUUCCAAGGCGCUGCCUCCAAGAAGGUAACGACAUAAUUGCCGCCGCCGCCCGCUCCAAUGGAGCUUGGGUUUUCACCCGGAAACACCAGACAGUUGCAGCAGUAGAUGGACGUAGCUCCGCGAUGUGCCUUUAGGAAGGAAUGCAAUGCUCAAGAACAUCGCCAACAUCGGCACCGACCGGAGAAGGUGCAAGACUUUCGCCCGGAGAAUCUACUCCACCGCCGAGCCUCACGAGGAAGCCAACGACAUAGGAACGCAGCAAGUUGCUGUUGGAAAUAUGCCCUAGAGGCAAUAAUAAAAUGGUUAUUAUUGUAUUUCCUUGUUCAUGAUAAUUGUCUGUUGUUCAUGCUAUAAUUGUAUUAACUGGAAACCGUAAUACAUGUGUCAAUACAUAGACCAUAAUAUGUCCCUAGUGAGCCUCUAGUUGACUAGCUCGUUGAUCAACAGAUAGUCAUGGUUUCCUGACUAUGGACAUUGGAUAUCAUUGAUAACGGGAUCACAUCAUUAGGAGAAUGAUGUGAUGGACAAGACCCAAUCCUAAGCAUAGCACAAGAUCGUGUAGUUCGUUUGCUAGAGCUUUUCUAAUGUCAAGUAUCAUUUCCUUAGACCAUGAGAUUGUGCAACUCUCGGAUACCGUAGGAAUGCUUUGGGUGUACCAAACGUCACAACGUAACUGGGUGGCUAUAAAGGUGCACUACAGGUAUCUCCGAAAGUGUCUGUUGGGUUGGCACGAAUCGAGACUGGGAUUUGUCACUCCGUAUGACGGAGAGGUAUCUCUGGGCCCACUCGGUAAUGCAUCAUCAUAAUGAGCUCAAUGUGACUAAGGAGUUAGCCACGGGAUCAUGCGUUACGGUACAAGUAAAGUGACUUGCCAGUAACGAGAUUGAACAAGGUAUUGGGAUACCGACGAUCGAAUCUCGGGCAAGUAAUGUACCGAUUGACAAAGGGAAUUGUAUACGGGAUUGAUUGAAUCCUCGACAUCGUGGUUCAUCCGAUGAGAUCAUCGUGGAGCAUGUGGGAGCCAACAUGGCUAUCCAGAUCCCGCUGUUGGUUAUUGACCGGAGAAAUGUCUCGGUCAUGUCUACAUGUCUCCCGAACCCGUAGGGUCUACACACUUAAGGUUCGGUGACGCUAGAGUUGUAGAGAUAUUAGUAUGCGGUUAACCGAAAGUUGUUCGGAGACCCGGAUGAGAUCCCGGACGUCACGAGGAGUUCCGGAAUGGUCCGGAGGUAAAGAUUUAUAUAUGGGAAGUCCUAUUUUGGCCACCAAAAAAUGUUCGGGAUUUUUCGGUAUUGUACCGGGAAGGUUCUAGAAGGUUCCGAAGUGGGGCCCACCUGCAUGGGGGGCCCACAUGAACGUGGGUAGUGGGGGCAAGGCCCCACACCCCUGGUCAAGGCGCACCAAGAUCCCACCUUAGAAGGAAUAAGAUCAUAUCCCGAAGGGAUAAGAUCAGGAUCCCUAAAAAAGGGGGGUAACAAUCGGUGGGGAAGNNNNNNNNNNNNNNNNNNNNNNNNNNNNNNNNNNNNNNNNNNNNNNNNNNNNNNNNNNNNNNNNNNNNNNNNNNNNNNNNNNNNNNNNNNNNNNNNNNNNNNNNNNNNNNNNNNNNNNNNNNNNNNNNNNNNNNNNNNNNNNNNNNNNNNNNNNNNNNNNNNNNNNNNNNNNNNNNNNNNNCGCCCCAAUGGACUUGGAGGGCAAGAAACCAGCCCCUCCACCCCUAUAUAUAGUGGGGAGGCGCAUGGGAGCAACACCCCAAGCCCUGGCGCCUCCCUCUCCCUCCCGUGACACAUCUCCCUUCUCCCGCAGCGCUUGGCGAAGCCCUGUUGGAAUCCCGCUACUUCCACCACCACGCCGUCGUGCUGCUGGAUCUCCAUCAACCUCUCCUUCCCCCUUGCUGGAUCAAGAAGGAGGAGACGUCUUCCCAACCGUAUGUGUGUUGAACACGGAGGUGCCGUCCGUUCGGCGCUAGGAUCAUCGGAGAUUUGGAUCACAACGAGUACGACUCCAUCAACCCCGUUCUCUUGAACGCUUCCGCUCGCGAUCUACAAGGGUAUGUAGAUGCACUCCUCCCCUCUCGUUGCUAGCAUCUCCUAAAUUGAUCUUGGUGACACGUAGGAAAAUUUUGAAUUUCUGCUACGUUCCCCAACAGUUGCGCAGAGUGCGUCGUUGCCAACCACCAGCCCUCAACACGCCGCAGCAAAAUGCCUUGCCAGAUCUGCGCACCCCCGGCCACCUCCAUCCCAAACUGCUGCUCCAUUGCACACACGGCCAGAGCAGUAGAAGAGCACACCACUCCGGUGGCCAGAGACCGAUCCCCACGACCACCGUCGCAGCGCCGCCGCCCAAAAACUGCGGCUCACCGCCACCGCCACAGCUCACCAUCAGAAGAAACCUCCACCGUCGCGGCACCGCCGCGCCGCCAUCCAAAAGCUGCGGCUCGCCGCCAUCAUCGCAGCUCCCCCGGUCGAGGGAGGGAACCCCAGGCACCCAGCGCGCCAUACAUCCAUAGCCCACCGGAGCGUCGCCGUCGCAACACGCCGGAGCACCUCCACCGACAGAUCUGGGCGCCGGGCGCCAGAUCGACGACGGCCGGCCACAGCGCCGCCACGCACACCAUCCAGCCGAGGAAGGGGGGAGCAGCGCUGCCACCAUGCCCGGGGCCGCCGCCCCGGCUUGCUCGCGCCGACGAGACGCGGCCGUCGCCAGAUGCGGGCCUCCGACCGAGGCCGAAGCCACGUGGCGCGCGACGAGGGCCCCCCGCUGCCGCCGUCCGCCUAGCGGGCUUCGCCCGUCAGCNNNNNNNNNNNNNNNNNNNNNNNNNNNNNNNNNNNNNNNNNNNNNNNNNNNNNNNNNNNNNNNNNNNNNNNNNNNNNNNNNNNNNNNNNNNNNNNNNNNNNNNNNNNNNNNNNNNNNNNNNNNNNNNNNNNNNNNNNNNNNNNNNNNNNNNNNNNNNNNNNNNNNNNNNNNNNNNNNNNNNNNNNNNNNNNNNNNNNNNNNNNNNNNNNNNNNNNNNNNNNNNNNNNNNNNNNNNNNNNNNNNNNNNNNNNNNNNNNNNNNNNNNNNNNNNNNNNNNNNNNNNNNNNNNNNNNNNNNNNNNNNNNNNNNNNNGCUCUCAACACAAAAAAAAAUCAACAUAUCUGCAAAUGCAGUUCAUACUACCCACCAACUAUUUACACAAAGGGCUUUAUAUAUUGAUAGAGAAAUUCUUGCGGUGGUUCACGCAAUUAACGCUUUUAGAUUAUACUUAGGGUUUAAGGAAUUUAUAGUGCAAACAGUCUGUGAAGCAAUAUGUAGAUAUUAUAAUCAGAUUAAUAGUAACAAAAGUUCGACUAAAAUAUGGUUAUUAUUCGAAGAUACUAUAGCAGGGAAUGGUUAUAAAGUAAUAUUUGAACAUAUCAAAGGGAGGAUAAUAGUUUACCUUACAUAUUCUCUCGCUCAUCAAUUUUGCUGAAAUUAAGAAAGGAUUUCUUCAUGGAGGAUAUGAAGCUUACAUGUUUGGAGAAGAAAAUAAGCCCAAAAUAUUUGCACCAGGAACAUUCAACUUCAUGCCCAAAAGUCAUAUCAAUAUUAAUGACAUCCAGAGGUGCAUACUAGAUAAUUUCUGGUAUCAUUACACCAAUAAAAGGGAAGAUAAAGGGUACAUGCUGGCAAAUCUUAACAACCUAUCUGAAUACUUCAAUUUAUUGAACAAAGGCACCCUCAAAGCAGCACAAAAGAAAGUGCAAAAAGAAGACAUGCUAUAUAUAAUAUUUGAUGGAAGUAAACCAGGAAUAUAUAUGAGCUUUGAAGAUGUUUUAAAAGAGAAAUUUGAUGCAAGGUGAAAGAAUGGAGACUUAUCAUGGAAAAGACAUGAUGAUUACAAUGAGUCCCUAAAAUGGGCAAUAAGCUUAAUAGGGAAAAUUUAUUAUAUAGACCCAAAAGCUAAAGAAUAUAUGAGAAGUCAGAGAGGCAUAAGUAGCAUUAUGACCACUCCAUCUUUUCCUAAAUAUACAAAGGGAGAAGCAUCAAGCUCCCAGAAGGUUAAAGAAGAUGAUUCCCCUAAAUAUGAGACUUUUCUCAUGUAUAAUAGUAACAAUAUCUUGAUAGGGGAAAAAUGUAAUGCCUUCCUCAUGUAUAAUAGUGGUCUGGAGAGAAUGUUGUAAAAAUCUUAAUCCUAAUAUCAUGUCAUCCUUUAUUACAGAUAAAUCUCUUAUUGUCAUUUCAUCUGUUAUAUAUUUUGUACCAUUAAUAUAUGUUUCUACGUUAUAUGCUAACGGGUUGUGAAUUUUAUUUAUGACUGACAUAUUCUAGAUACCUCUCCUUUAUUAUCAUCUAAAGUUUUACCAAUUUCAAGACACUUAACGAAAUAUUUGUCAUUAUUAUAUUCCUAGUUUAUAAGUUUUAUUUUUUCUUCCCAGUGAUUUAAUUCAUCUUCUAAAUCUGCCUUUUUCCAUACAUUGUUUUAGACAUUUAUUCUUACUAUCACUACUCUCUGUUUUUGACAUGAAAGAUUAUAUAUCGUCUAAGGCUGUGAAUUAUAGUUCAUGAACCUAAUGCUGCUACUUCCUUCGCUAUUUUGAGAGCUCAUAUAAUUUUCUAGUUGCUUCAACUCUUUCUUCUCUAUUAGUUCGCUUACAUCCCAUUCUGUCCUGCUCUCUCUUCAGCGCCAAUUUUAAGAGGGCUCAUAAAUUUUAUGACUUUACAUUGCAUGCUUUCUAUUACAUCAUUUACGUCUACUUUGUAUCUAGAGUUGCUUUUAUUAGUGAGUCUUCCUAUGAAUCCAAUGCUUACUAACAAAUAUCUUCCUUUAAAAUGGUCAAUUCCUUUGGUUUGGAAACAAAGCUCAUUUUUUUCAAUAAAUUCUUUUACAGGCAUCAUUAAGUUUGGACCUAUAUCUGUUCUUAAUCUAUUUUUAUUCAUAUCUCCUUCCAUAAAGCCUAAGGAUGCUUUUUCUACCGACUCACAUCUUUUAUCUUGUAAUGUCAUUAGUACCUUCGUUCCUAAUUUCAAUCUUGUCAUUUCUUUUACUCAAAUAAUAUACAUGCCUUGGUGAAUAUAUUUAUAACCCGAAUAUUUGAGUUCAUUCUCAAUAUUUUUGCUAACAAUUCUUAAAUCGGCUGGAUAUGUUAUGACACUUAAUUCUGUUUCUCUAGAUAUUCUAUAUAAUCUUCUGUUACUUUCAAAUAUACCCAUGUGAUGUACCUGUUGCGGUCUUAUUUUUCUUAACAUGUCUCUCUGGUAUCUUUCUAAUUCGCGUUCCAUGUCUAUAACAUCUUCUAAAUUAUCUAUGUCGUCACCCUUGCAUGAUCUCCUAUUUAUCAUGGUUAGCAAUCUUGAAUCAUGCCUUAUUAACUGGAUGGUCUUGUCUCUUCGAGCGAGGCUUUUAGAUAGUUCCAUUUUUCGGAAUUGAUACUUUUAGACGAUGAGACUAUUCCGGAUGAAGAUAAUACCAACUAGUUAUUACCUCAUUUAGUAUUAAGCUUCUUCAAAAUCUGGACUAGCAGCUGCAGAUUCGUGUUAUUCUCCCUUAUAAUUAUUCUGGAGUCUUCUUUUGGUGAAUCGUGAUAUGAAAAUCCAACAGGAGGUGCUAAGUACUUUUCUACUUCUUUUUGUGCUUGGCUAUAUUCACUCAUGCAAAUUAUGAUAUGACCAAAGUCUUUAUUUCUUGUACUAGCGUUUUAACUUCAAAUAUAUUGUGUCUUAUUUCAGCACCUCAUAAUGAAUCUAUACUUUUAUUUAGGACACCACUUAGAUUCUUUCGUAUGGAUAAAACCUCUUCUUUAAUAUAAUCGUUAUUUUACAAGCUAUAAGAUUUCUUCCUUUUGAUUCUUCUAAUUUCUGUAGAACUAGAUCAAUUUUAUUAUUCAAACCUUUUUUAUUUUUCUACUAAUUUGGAUGUUCUCUUAGCAGACUUUCAAUUUUUUUGUCUAAGUUAUCUUACCUUUUUCCCUAAGAUAUAUAAAAGUUAUGAAUGAGGUCAACAAUUAAAUUUAGUUGGCUAUGAGAAGUAUGCCACGUAUGUUCUUCCGAAGGUAUUCUGCACAAUAUGAUAAUAUUUUAUUUAGUUGAAAUUAUUCUACCUGAACUAACUUUAAAAUUCAAAUACUUUAGUCAUUCAAUGAUUAAACACUAGUUGAGAUACCAACACACAAAUAUGUAAAUUUCAAAAUUAUUAAAUAUCCAGAAUACGAGACUAUUUAGUAUGAAAACUUAGUUAGCUAAAUUUUUUGAAAUUAUUUAAUACUACAAUUUAUUUAAUUAAUGGAUUCAUAAUUAACUUAAUUUACUAAUUAUUAUAUUUUAUAUGUUUAUGCAGGAUAUUUUACGGUUUGGCGAAACCAACGAGACAGCAUACGGGUAUGCAGCGGUCGUGUUAAUCCUACAUGGUACUCUCUGUAUUUAUCACUGUGUUGCUUCAGAAGCAGCUACGUUCUUUCACUUGAUGUAUAUAUUGCGAAUUUAUGCGAUAAAUUCCUACCGCCUUCCCAGGUAAUUCCACCCGAAGGGAACACUUCCAUAAGCCUAUAAGGUUCUCAACAAACGCCACACAGGCUAAAUAGAGAACUACCAGCAGAGUUUUUUCCUAUAGGAUCUCUUACAUACGUAAGAACUCAUCUCAUAAAUUCAUAAUAGGAGGACCAAGUUAAACACAAAACUACUUCAUUUCGACAACAUAAUUUACAUACGGAUUUCCCUUCCGGGAGACGCCGAAGGGAUUACAAAGAGAAAACAGGACUACCUUCUGCCUACCUCCACCACGGGGAGAUUCAAUGCCUCAAAGGCUUUAUUACAACUGGAGCUAGCUACUAAUACUACGGCUACUGAGGAGUGUGAGGGUUGUGACGCUAGAAUGUUGCAAUGCUCUGGAGUCUGGUGUUAUGUGUUUCUUUCGCAGCGCUCAGUCCUCCCCCUUUUAUAGCGCACGAGGGGCACCUUGUGGUCAGUGACUUUAUUCCUCUCUAGCUGGUGUACUACAGCAUGCCUUGGAACAACUUCUACGUCUUGCAUGUUCCUUUGUGUGAGCUGAUGAAACAGCCCCCUAUUUUAUGUGCCUUGUAGUUUGCACAGUCAAGCAUCUAUGUUUGCAUAGCCAUGCAUGAUUCCAAUGCAUGACUUUGUCUUGACAAAUGGUUUUGUCCAGACUCAAAUCUUUGUCCUGACAGAUGAUUUUGUCCAGACUAAAAUCUUUGUCUUGACAGAUGAUUUUGUCUAGACUGAAAACCUUGUCUUGACAGAUGAUCUUGUCCAGACUGAAGCUCUUGUCUCCAUUGGAGCUCUUUCCAUGAUAUUUAAUUCCAACUCUUGCAUGCACCGUUGUAUGAGUCAUCCAUGCAUUGUUGAAUAUAUUAGUCUUCCUGCAUGACCCAAUAUUUUAACUUGGAUGAACAGUCUUGUCUUGCAUAAUUAUUCUUGCAGUAUGAAUAAUUAUAUAUAUCCCCAGUUCUUGUUCAUCCUACGGCGUGCAUGCAUUGAUACCCAUCUUUUGAUUAUCCCAUAUCCUAGCACUCAAAGCAUACAAUUAUGAGUUUACAUGUCCAAUGCUAGACACAACUCAGGCCCAUCAAAUAAGCAACAUGUUAAGUUUACACACCAUCCAAAAGGAAAAGUAAUACCAAGUAGUGUUGAUACAGUUACUACAAAGUCAAGCUGAAACCAAGAACAAACUGUGCAAUGUUGAUAAAACAGAGCAUCCAUAUGGGAAAACGCAAUUCAAAAUUACAUGUUGCAUAGUGCAGACACACAUUUCUUCGCCGUGCUACAAAAGUAAACCAUCAACAGAAAGAGAAAUAAAUCAAGCAAUUAAUAUUUAUAUUGCUAAAUGCACCGAUAGGAGCCAACUAUUUUCAAAUAAUACAAGGCGAGGAACUGAAAAAUUGCAACAUCCCUACACUGCUCGUAUCAAACAUAUGAAUUCCAUCAACUGUACAAGCCUGCGCGGAAGGUAAUUCAAUGCAAAAAUUGUAACCACCCCACCAUGCUAAAGGGCAUGAGCAUGCUUUGUGUUGUGUGAUACUAAUUCAUACCCAUGCAUAGCCCAGUUAGUUAAAGACAAUCAACAUACCUAAUUUCCGACAGAAUGCCAGAUGUCAAACCUAUAACAAAACAAUAUAGAACAAAACAUACCUAAUCAACAUACCCAUGCAUAGCCCACUUCACAAAUAAGACAAAGGCAAAAUAUUCUAGAUAUUUUCAUCAAUUUAUCCUCAAGCUGCUUCAUCUCCUCGCGACCUCCAAUUGCUCUUGCAACAUCGAGCGAGUGGGAUGUGGAGGAGGUGGAGGGUUGGCAGUGGGCUUGCAGCAGAGGAACGAUGAUGUCCAUCACGACGUGGCAGCCGUCAGUGGAGAUGGCGCCGCUCCUCCUGUCGUUGCCUUGGUGAAGGAGGUGGGGGCCGUCCAGUCGCCACGCGCAAUGGAGAGGAACAUGGGAUGGGGUAGGCGGAGGGCAGCAGCGGCAUGAGAGAGGCGGGGAUGAGGGCUACGGGAAGAGGAGGAGGUCGGCCGUGCAGGAGACCGAGUAGGGGCUGAAAAUCGGAGGGAGCGAGUACGACAGGAGAGACGGUUAGGUUUUCUACCGUGGGCGUUGUGGACGACUGAGAUCAUUUUAGGCAGCAAAGGACGGCCCAAAUUCGGAUGCCUUGGGAGACUAGUCAAAAUCGAUCCACCACGGUAAUCGAUUGGGCUGAAUCGAAGCUGAGCGUUUCCACCCCGGAGCUUAGUGAUAUAGUAGAUUCCUCGUGUCAUCAGUUCAUCACACACACAAAGGAUCCGUCCCGUAGGUAAGCAUGUAUCUUGCUAUGUGCUUUCCCUCGGAGAUAUUCUCAUCUAUAUCGAAGUGUGCAACCGUUUGGUAAGGACAGGGCCGGUCCCGAGAUUUUGGGGGCCCGGGGCGAAAGUAAAAUUUGAGGCCCCUUAAUAUAAAUAUCAUAGCAAUGAUAAAUAAUAUUUGCAUCUAAAAAAUGUUAUUAAUAAUUACUUAAAUGCAUCCAAAAUCCUAUAUAUAUAUAUAUAUAUUAUAUAUUAUAUAUAUAUAUAUAUAUAAAUAUAAAAUUCAUCUCUAAAAGAAGAAGAAAAACCACAGCUAUCCUUAGCCUGUACAUGCGGCUCCAUCCUAUAAUAAGAAUUAGCGUCUGAUUCAAAAAAAAGGGAUUACGUGCAGUUCUGAUAUUUUAAAAAAUAUAACGUGACCUAACGUGUAUGCAUGGGAGUAGAACUUUCUUCGUAAGAAAAUGGCGGAUGCUACAAAUCAUCCGACCGCCUAGCCAGCCGUCGGAUGAACAUGCUGGUGGCCGUUCGAUGCGGCAACGCCACAGCAGCAGACCAGCUCCAACUCAGCGCUACUGGCUCUCCGGCAAAGCUCCACUUCAGCACUGUGCGGCGUGUCUAUAGCUCCAACGCAUCCUGACAGCGUUCGGCGGAGCUCCAACGCAGUAUCGAUGGAGUCCGGUGAAGCUCCAUUGCAACUCCGGCGGAGCUCCAAGGUGGCACCGCGGACUCCGGCGAAGCUUCAUUGCAACUCCGGCGGAGCUCCAACGCAGCAUCGACGGAGUCCGGCGAAGCUCCAUUGUAGUGUCGUCUAUGCUUCCGCCGGAGUUGAGGGAGAUGCCCCGACGCACCGUUCCGACGAGCCGCACGACUACCCUUAGAGUAGCAGUGGUGUUGUUGCAAAAAAGCAGCAGCAUCAAACGUGCUCACCGCAGCCCCCUCACUGUCAGCACCGGUGGCGUUGCAACGCAGCACCGCCGGUGGCGACGGCCGGAGUUGAGGAAGAUGCUCGUCACGUGCGUACCUUACAGCCGUGCUUGCCAGAGAUGCUCUCCGCCCGACCUUGCUGCAACCGCACUGUAGCGUUCCCGGUGUCGACCUUCCCCUGCUUGCAUCAAUGGCGGCUGCGGGCCAUGCGUGAAUGCCGCAGUAGUGUGGCUGCUUUGCAACAGGGGCGGUGUUGGUGCAGAGUAGCAUUAUAAGGCCGCGGGCGGUGGCCACUUCCGGUUCCCAGCUUUGGUGGUUGCUGGCCAGGGGAUCGAUGGCCUCUUUCUAGCAGUGUUGCCUGAGGAUGAAACGGGGAAAAGAAGAAAACGUGUGGAGAAGGGGAAGAUACAUAGCGAGAAGAUAAGGCUGGGUCCGCUGGGAUGGAGCGGUGGCGGCCCCGCAGGGGACACGUGGUGCGCAUAGGACGCGG
rnacentral:lncRNA from 1 species